rnacentral:tRNA from 1 species
GGAAAGGUGGCUGAGCGGUCGAAGGCGUUAGUUUGCUAAACUAAAGUGUAAAAAUUUACACCAUGGGUUCGAAUCCCAUUCUUUCCG